GUUGAGUUCAGCAGGAUUCUUCAGUCCCCUGGAGGUGUUGAGUUCAGCAGUAUUCUUCAGUCCCCUAGAGGUGUUGAGUUCAGCAGUAUUCUUCAGUCCCCUGGUGGUGUUGAGUUCAGCAGUAUUCUUCAGUCCCCUAGAGGUGUUGAGUUCAGCAGUAUUCUUCAGUCCCCUGGUGGUGUUGAGUUCAGCAGUAUUCUUCACUCCCCUAGAGGUGUUGAGUUCAGCAGUAUUCUUCAGUCCCCUGGUGGUGUUGAGUUCAGCAGUAUUCUUCAGUCCCCUAGAGGUGUUGAGUUCAGCAGUAUUCUUCAGUCCCCUGGUGGUGUUGAGUUCAGCAGUAUUCUUCACUCCCCUAGAGGUGUUGAGUUCAGCAGUAUUCUUCAGUCCCCUGGAGGUGUUGAGUUCAGCAGGAUUUUUCAGUCCCCAAGAGAUGUUGAGUUCAGCAGUAUUCUUCAGUCCCC